rnacentral:tRNA from 1 species
GCGGGCGUAGUUCAGUGGUAGAACGAUAGCUUCCCAAGCUAUAUGUCGUCGGUUCGAUCCCGAUCGCCCGCUCCA